rnacentral:tRNA from 1 species
GGGUCUUUCGUCUAAUGGUUAAGGCUCUGAUCUCAUAAAUCAGAUAAUAUCGGUUCAAGUCCGAUGAGACCCA